GCAAGGAAUUUUGCGCAAUGGGCGAAAGCCUGACGCAGCAACGCCGCGUGAGGGAUGAAGGCCUUCGGGUUGUAAACCUCUUUUCUCAGGGACGAAUAAUGACGGUACCUGGGGAAUAAGCUUCGGCUAACUACGUGCCAGCAGCCGCGGUAAUACGUAGGAAGCAAGCGUUAUCCGGAUUUACUGGGCGUAAAGUGGACGUAGGCGGCCUUGCAAGUCGGAUGUGAAAUCUCCUGGCUUAACUGGGAGGGGUCAUCCGAUACUGUUGGGCUAGAGGACAGCAGGGGAAGGUGGAAUUCCCGGUGUAGUGGUGAAAUGCGUAGAUAUCGGGAGGAACACCAGUGGCGAAGGCGGCCUUCCAGGCUGUUUCUGACGCUGAGGUCCGAAAGUGUGGGGAGCGAACAGGAUUAGAUACCCGGGUAGUCC
rnacentral:rRNA from 1 species